AUACCUUUGUGGCGAUGGUGUUCCCUAAUUCGGCUUUUGUCGGAUUGGGAUUAAAAGGGAAUCGGGUGAAAAUCCCGGGCAGACCCGCUGCUGUAAGUUGCGUUUGAGCCGCAGGCAUUAUGCCACUGUAGGAGGAUUCUUUGUCUCGUAUGGGAAGGCGCUUGUUUUGGUGAAGCAACGAAGCCAGAAGACCUGCAUCGUCUGUUUCUGCGGC
rnacentral:ncRNA from 1 species